CAGCAUGCCACAGUGUGAAUAAGCAAAAGCUUUUGAGUAUGCUGUAAUUGUUUGGAAUGAGAACCACUCAUGAAGUAACUAUGAGAAUAAGCUGGGAUCACAAGAGUAACAGCUAGGCUAAAAUACUUGAAAACUCUCUCAAAGUGGCGUGGUCACUGGAUAAUAGUGCAUGAAUAAUUGAAGUAAAUGUGAGCAGACAUGAGUUGGUUGGGCUGACAAACGAGCGGCGCGUGCUCGUUUCGUUUUGUGUUGUGACGUAGCCUACUGUAAUUCGGCUGCUGCGAACGCGUUCGAGCUUGUAUGGUAGUGUGGCACCUGUGUGACCACACUUUAUCCAACUUGAGAACUGCGUAUCUAUCUAAUAACUAUGAAUUACGUAUUUAUGUUUUCCACAACUUGAAAUGUAAGAGACAUGCGCUCAAACUUGCGGCUCAGAGGUUGGAAGUGCUCUUAUCAGUCGACUCCCAACAUUAAUGAGGCAGUGGAUAAUGAGCAUUGCUGGCACCAAAAUGCCAUGACACCAUGGAGGAGUCUGAGGACUAGAUUGGAGCACCCAGGGAGAGGAAGGCGAACACCCCCAUUUUUAUCUGGCUCUACAUCAUUUGAUGAACCUUGGAGAUCAGAAAACACAUCUAGUCCUUUUUUAUUCCUGGGCCGGACACGCAGUGUCCCUGAAGAUCUUCAUUGCUACAGUAGACCCACUUUACGGUCAAGCUUCUCCUCGAUCACCAUCACCGCUCAGAGUUUGUCUCCUAAAAGGGAUUGUACAGCUUAUUUAAACUCAACCUUUCGUCCUCCGAACAUGCCUGACAGACCGCCCUCUCUCAUGGCCCACAGAGAAAAUAAAACCCUAGAAAUCAUUGUUGGCACUCCGGUGCCUCCUAGACACAAGACAGUUGUGGUGACGGUGACCGAGAACAGAGAACAGCAUUGUGCCAGCGAGACCCCCAGCAGUUCCCAAGCUCCACCAGUCCAUGAGCACAGCUACACAGAGGAAGAAGACCAAACAGACUCUUUGCCCUCUUUAAAACGUCAUAUCUUCCGCUCCUGUGCCCAUCUGGAGCUCCUGCCGUCCAAGCUUUCCAGAUCUACUCUGUACUUGGACAAAUCCCUCUCAAUCCCUCUUGGACAGACUUUGUAUAGAUCCACUCUGUCCCUUUCCUUUGGAAAACCAUCUUUUACUCAGACCCCUGAGAAACCCAAAAUGAUGAUUCAAACUAAAAGUUCUUACAGUAACUGGGACAUGGCGAACACUGGCAUUGAUGGAACAGAAAGGCUGUCCCAGCAACCGAAGAAUGGUUCAACCAUCAAUGGCAGUCCCUUUAAAAAUAAUACUAGCUUCGGCUCUGACACGCUGUAUUCCACUUUAACAUCAUUGCCAUUCAGAACAAGGUGCCACUCAUCUUCUGCUGCCUUCAGACUGAAUGGAAAGGCUAAUGAUGUCUUAGGGCCUUCGCAGAGAAAUCCAAGAGCCAGACAGGCAUUCAGCGAGCCAUCAGAUAUCCAUUUCAAACCCAGGGACAGAGCCAUCUCAGGCAAGGAGAUGCAAUGGAGAUCCAGGCGGAUUUACAACAAACUCCCUGAGGUGACCAAAAAGAAGGAGGAGGAGAGGAAGAGGCUGGUGCUGGAAACCAACAGACUGAGGGCAGAGGUGUUCAAAAAGGUUCAGCUUUAAAUCUCACUCUGCUUUUUUUUAAGGCUUAUAGAUUUUGAGUUCCACCAUUAAAAAAAAUAUUCACAGCUUUUACUUUUAUUUGCAUGUAUUUGUUUCGCUUCUGUUAAUCUGUCAUAAAAGCCAACAAUAUUUAUAAUGUACAAUGCCAAGUUUAAUAUACAGUAUAUGGUAGAUUAAUACACAAGCUAGAGCAGAAGAGAAACAAGAUCUAUUUUUUUUUUUUGCUAUAGUUUUAUUUGUUAAAAGCUCAACUUUCUAAUAUCUAGGACAGUGGUGCUCAAAGGCCCUCUGUUGUUUGAAGGGAAAACAAAUGUUUUUGCAAUUUUCAUUUAUAGUUAUAUUAUUUUAAUAAAUAAAUGAUUUAUUAAUUUAACUGCUUCA
ensembl:lncRNA